AGAGUUUGAUCAUGGCUCAGAACGAACGCUGGCGGCGGGCUUAACACAUGCAAGUCGCACGAGAACGCUCGAGCUUGCUCGAGCUAGUAAAGUGGCGCACGGGUGAGUAACGCGUGGGUAAUCCACCCAAGAGUUCGGGAUAACGUCUCGAAAGGGACGCUAAUACCGGAUAAGACCACAGCGGCCGAGGCCGCAGAGGUAAAAGGGAGCCUCUACAUGAAAGCUUCCACUCUUGGACGAGCCCGCGUCCCAUUAGCUUGUUGGUAGGGUAACGGCCUACCAAGGCGACGAUGGGUAGCUGAUCUGAGAGGACGAUCAGCCACACUGGGACUGGAACACGGCCCAGACUCCUACGGGAGGCAGCAGUGAGGAAUCUUGCGCAAUGGGGGAAACCCUGACGCAGCCACGCCGCGUGGGUGAAGAAGGCCUUCGGGUCGUAAAGCCCUGUCAGGUGGGAAGAAGUGCUGGGAGAUUAAUAGUCUUUCGGCUUGACGGUGCCACCAAAGGAAGCACCGGCUAACUCCGUGCCAGCAGCCGCGGUAAUACGGAGGGUGCGAGCGUUAAUCGGAAUCACUGGGCGUAAAGCGCGCGUAGGCGGUCUGUUAAGUCAGAUGUGAAAGGCCUGGGCUCAACCUGGGAACUGCAUUUGAUACUGGCGGGGAGUCUGGUAGAGGGGGGUGGAAUUCCAGGUGUAGCGGUGAAAUGCGUAGAUAUCUGGAGGAACAUCCGUGGCGAAGGCGGCCCCCUGGACCGAGACUGACGCUGAGGUGCGAAAGCGUGGGGAGCAAACAGGAUUAGAUACCCUAGUAGUCC
rnacentral:rRNA from 1 species